UACGUAGGGACCAAGCGUUGUUCGGAUUUACUGGGCGUAAAGGGCGCGUAGGCGGCAUGACAAGUCACUUGUGAAAUCUCCGGGCUUAACUCGGAACGGCCAAGUGAUACUGUCAAGCUAGAGUGCAGAAAGGGCAAUCGGAAUUCUUGGUGUAGCGGUGAAAUGCGUAGAUAUUCGGAGGAACACCAGAAGCGAAGGCGGCCAACUGGCCCGAUACUGACGCUGAGGCGCGAAAGCGUGGGGAGCAAACAGG
rnacentral:rRNA from 1 species